UACGAGUGCCCCGAGCGUUAUCCGGAAUUAUUGGGCGUAAAGGGUGUGUAGGUGGUAGUGUUAGUCUUUUGUUAAAUUCUUCGGCUUAACCGGGGGCAUGCAAAGGAAACGGCACAACUAGAGGAUGCGAGAGGUGAAUGGAACUCAUGGAGUAGGGGUGAAAUCCGUUGAUAUCAUGGGGAACACCAAAUGCGAAGGCAAUUCACUGGCGCACUCCUGACACUGAGACACGAAAGCGUAGGUAGCGAAUGGG
rnacentral:rRNA from 1 species